rnacentral:rRNA from 1 species
AGUUCAAGAGUACGUGAAACCGUUCAGGGGUAAACCUGAGAAACCCAAAAGUUCGAAAAGGGAGAUUCAUCGUCGACGACUGCUGGCUCCCGAUGGCGCGCGAUGCCCCUCGUCUAACGUACGUGGGGGCACGCCGCUUCGGCGAACGUUCCGGCGUCGCGGUCGUGCACUUCUCCCUUAGUAGGACGUCGCGACCCGUUGCGUGUCGGUCUACGGGCCGGGUGGGAGCCUGUCGCGUUCGCGCGCGACAACCCCUCGGAGCCCGACCGACUGCGCGACGGUAUUCGAAUACGGUAUAAGGCCGCAAAAUCUUUUGCUUGCGUCAGGCCCGCCGCAAGUUGUACCAGUUUUCACCCGGAUCGACGGACUCUGCGCCGUCCCCGGGCCUGGUUAACUGUUGGCUGAGCGGUGUCCUCGGACCGGCUAACAUACCCGUCAGCGACGCUAUUGCUUUGGGUACUCUCAGGACCCGUCUUGAAACACGGACCAAGGAGUCUAACAUGUACGCGAGUCAUUGGGACUUGUUAAACCUAAAGGCGAAAUGAAAGUGAAAGUCGGCCUUCGCGUCGACCGAGGGAGGAUGGGCCGUGUACCAAUACGGCCUCGCACUCCCGGGGCGUCUCGUUCUCAUCGCGAGAGGAGGCGCACCCAGAGCGUACACGUUGGGACCCGAAAGAUGGUGAACUAA